CCUACGGGAGGCUGCAGUCGAGAAUCAUUCACAAUGGGGGAAACCCUGAUGGUGCGACGCCGCGUGGGGGAAUGAAGGUCUUCGGAUUGUAAACCCCUGUCAUGUGGGAGCAAAUUAAAAAGAUAGUACCACAAGAGGAAGAGACGGCUAACUCUGUGCAAGCAGCCGCGGUAAUACAGAGGUCUCAAGCGUUGUUCGGAAUCACUGGGCGUAAAGGGUGUGUAGGCUGUUUCGUAAGUCGUGUGUGAAAGGCGCGGGCUCAACCCGCGGACGGCACAUGAUACUGGUAGACUAGAGUAAUGGAGGGGGAACCGGAAUUCUCGGUGUAGCAGUGAAAUGCGUAGAUAUCGAGAGGAACACUCGUGGCGAAGGCGGGUUCCUGGACAUUAACUGACGCUGAGGCACGAAGGCCAGGGGAGCGAAAGGGAUUAGAUACCCGUGUAGUC
rnacentral:rRNA from 1 species